UCGAAGUUUUCCUGUUUACACUAAAGAGGAAUACAGGCCACUGGACUCUGAACAUGGAGACUCAAGAUGGCAAAGCCCAGACAUGGCUGCCAUUAUAUGCCAGAGUGGAUGGAGACUGAUCUCUGCAAAAGGUUGUAACAUCCGUUGAUGAUUUGUUUGGGGAAUUGAAGAAGAUUAAACCACAAGAGGAAACCGGACAUGGAUUCCAAACUGGACCAUUAUUUCUGCAGCUGAGUGGUAGCUUGUGUGAAGAGUCUACCCAGGAAGGGGAGAGACGUUGAAGUGACCUGGCUGAAAGGCCAAGUCACAGGAAGCAGCAGGCCAUGGCAGAGGUGGAGCAGCAACUGACAGGAUACCCCAGCAGACAGAGAGCUGCCAUGUCAUGCCUGGCCAUGAGGAGGUGCCACUGAGAAAGAACACGAAAAAAAGAAAUAUCACUUCUUGCAUCUUGGCAGUCCUGUGAUGAUGAUCCAGGAAAAUAUCAGAACUGUCCUAUUCAAUUCCACACAAGAUGGUUUGAAAAAAAAUCAAUAUCCAUUCCAAUUAGAGCUACAGUCUGAUUCUUGCAAAAUCGCAAAGAGCUUUUUACCAUCUUCGCCAAUGAUGACACUUAGCAAUGGCUGGUUGAAGCAGCAGCGCAGCCUCUGAUGGCACCUGGGGAAGAAGAGGCCUCCAUGUGAUUUUGAUAGUGAACCAUGUCUUCAUUAGUGUCGUCAGAAAAAUCUGUGACUUUUGUGUCUUCUGGCAGCAUGACUGGGGUGCUCCAGUGAUUUGAUAAUAAAGCAAACAUUGUCCUGAUAGAGUGAAAGUAAGCUGUGUGAAACAACUUCACUCCCACCAUCACUCACCAGUCAGUUCUUCUACAUGCUGUGUAGGUCGACAAAGUAAACAAACAACCACAUGGGCAUGUAUUAAAGUACAAAAGCCUAUGU